GGGAGCGAGGCCUCGAGAAGGGCUCGCGCAGCCGCAGUCAGAUGUUCCGGGGCGGAGCGAGCCCCGCGGUCCCCGGCGGCUGCUGUUGCUCUGUGGAGUCGUAGGUGGCACGCUGAGCGGAGGGUGACCACUGCCCGGCAGCUUCCACACACCCCUCGGGGGAGCCUGCUAGGGAGGAAGGAAGGUCAGCUGGAGUCACGACACGUGCAGCUCCUGCUGGAGCGGGUCCAAAGCUGGGCUGCAGCAAGGGCAGCUGUCUCUGAGGGCAGAAGGCAUGGAUCAAUGGCCAUCAGACUCAGAACCCUCAGGAAAACUGAAGAAAUUCUUCAGAGAUGACAAAGGCAAAGGUUUUCUACCUGAGCUUCAGGGUGGUCAGCACAACCUCACUCCUGCACUCAGCUCCUCAGCCAGGACAGAGAGAAAAAGGCAGAUUCACCAGAGGAGCUGGGACAUUCUUAUUUAUAAAUGAAGGAAAUGAAGAGGCCCCAACUAGAGCAAGUACAGAUUUUGUGAAAGAGUAAAGGCCUCGAGUAUGACAUUGAUCAAAGGCAAAAGAAGAGAUUUCUAUCUACAGUAAUAUCUUUGUUUAAUUUUUCCAAAGGGGAAGCCAUUUUAGAUUUCUUUCUAGGUCAGCAUGACUAUAUAAACUUUGUUUAAACCAAAAGCCUGAUUUAUAGCCCUCCAAGCAUAUGUCAUUCAUCUGCUUUGUAAAUGAGUAGCCUAAAGGUAAACCAUCAUGUCCUUAAGGUGUUGAUGACUACACCUGCUCCUUGCAUUUCUUAACAUUAAAACUUGUGAUUCCUGCCUAUAUGUUAAUCUGUAAUCUCUUGACCUUUUACAAGAUGUAAAACUAUAAUCCUAUACAAAGUGUUCAUUGUCUGGAGCAUUAUCUUCUCUGUGAAGAGUAUGUUUCUCAGGCAGCUGUCCUAAUGGGCUUGAAUAAAACUUAAUUUCUUUUAGAGUUUCUAA